rnacentral:rRNA from 1 species
CAGCGCCACAAGUGGCAAUCGCAGUUAUUGGGCCUAAAGCGUCCGUAGCCGGUUUGAUAAAUCUUUUGUGAAAUUGUUGGGCUCAACUCAACAACGUGCAGAAGAGACUGUUGAACUUGGGACUAGAGAGGGGUUAGAAGUAUUUCUGGGGGAGCGGUAAAAUGUAUAAUCCUAGAAAGACUACCUGUGGCGAAGGCGUCUAACCAGAAUAGAUCCGACGGUGAGGGACGAAAGCUAGGGGAGCGAUCCGGAUUAGAUACCCGAGUAGUCC